rnacentral:lncRNA from 1 species
AUGAACGAAAAUCUGUUCACUUCAUUCAUUGCCCCCACAAUCCUAGGCCUACCCGCCGCAGUACUGAUCAUUCUAUUUCCCCCUCUAUUGAUCCCCACCUCCAAAUAUCUCAUCAACAACCGACUAAUUACCACCCAACAAUGACUAAUCCAACUAACCUCAAAACAAAUGAUAGCCAUACACAACACUAAGGGACGAACCUGAUCUCUUAUACUAGUAUCCUUAAUCAUUUUUAUUGCCACAACUAACCUCCUCGGACUCCUGCCUCACUCAUUUACACCAACCACCCAACUAUCUAUAAACCUAGCCAUGGCCAUCCCCUUAUGAGCGGGCGCAGUGAUUAUAGGCUUUCGCUCUAAGAUUAAAAAUGCCCUAGCCCACUUCUUACCACAAGGCACACCUACACCCCUUAUCCCUAUACUAGUUAUUAUCGAAACCAUCAGCCUACUCAUUCAACCAAUAGCCCUGGCCGUACGCCUAACCGCUAACAUUACUGCAGGCCACCUACUCAUGCACCUAAUUGGAAGCGCCACACUAGCAAUAUCAACUAUUAACCUUCCCUCUACACUUAUCAUCUUCACAAUUCUAAUUCUACUGACUAUCCUAGAAAUCGCUGUCGCCUUAAUCCAAGCCUACGUUUUUACACUUCUAGUAAGCCUCUACCUGCACGACAACACAUAA